AUACAGAGUAGGUGUUGGAGAGAG
rnacentral:piRNA from 1 species